AGGGUCUUAGCUUAAUUAAAGUAAUUGAUUUGCAUUCAAUUGAUGUAGGAUAUAAUCUUACAGUCCCUA
rnacentral:tRNA from 1 species